rnacentral:rRNA from 1 species
UGCGCAGGCGGUUAUAUAAGACAGAUGUGAAAUCCCCGGGCUCAACCUGGGACCUGCAUUUGUGACUGUAUAGCUAGAGUACGGUAGAGGGGGAUGGAAUUCCGCGUGUAGCAGUGAAAUGCGUAGAUAUGCGGAGGAACACCGAUGGCGAAGGCAAUCCCCUGGACCUGUACUGACGCUCAUGCACGAAAGCGUGGGGAGCAAACAGGAUUAGAUACCCUGGUAGUCCACGCCCUAAACGAUGUCAACUGGUUGUUGGGUCUUCACUGACUCAGUAACGAAGCUAACGCGUGAAGUUGACCGCCGUGGGGAGUACGGCCGCAAGGUUGAAA